rnacentral:tRNA from 1 species
GGUCAGAUGGCCGAGUUGGUUAUGGCGUGAGGUUAAGGCUUUACCUUGACACCCCGCUUCCUCAUGGGAUUUUCCCGCGUGGGUUCGAAUCCCACUCUGAUCA